rnacentral:rRNA from 1 species
AACGAACGCUGGCGGCAUGCCUAACACAUGCAAGUCGAACGAGACCUUCGGGUCUAUUGGCGCACGGGUGCGUAACGCGUGGGAACCUGCCCUUAGGUUCGGAAUAACUCCCCGAAAGGGGUGCUAAUACCGGAUAAUGUCUUCGGACCAAAGAUUUAUCGCCUUUGGUUGGGCCCGCGUUGGAUUAGCUAGUUGGUAGGGUAAAAGCAUACUAAGGCGACGAUCCGUAGCUGGUCUGAGAGGAUGAUCAGCCACACUGGGACUGAGACACGGCCCAGACUCCUACGGGAGGCAGCAGUGGGGAAUAUUGGACAAUGGGCGAAAGCCUGAUCCAGCAAUGCCGCGUGAGUGAUGAAGGCCUUAGGGUUGUAAAGCUCUUUUACCCGGGAUGAUAAUGACAGUACCGGGAGAAUAAGCUCCGGCUAACUCCGUG